UCCUGGCUGGCUGACAGGUGUCCUCCACUGCUACGGCCUGGGACUGCAGGGUGUCCCUGGCCACAGAGGGUGCCCAGCAUGCUAAACACACAGGCUUGAUGGAGAGGGGUGCUCCCAUACAGUCACGCUCCUGAGGCCAUUCUCUGGUCUGAGACUGGGCAAGUGGCAGGGCGGCCGCCAUUGAGAGCCAUGCUGAAACAGUGCUUACAGAUGUGAGACCAGCAGCAGCGGCAGAAAGGCUUUGUCAACACCAGCAAAUCACUGUUUCUACCUCUGCAAGGUCAGCUUCUGAAGGCAACGUGUUCAAGACCACAGCUCCACAACCGGUGUCCAUGAUUUAUGCCAUUAUAGCAUGCCAUAUGGAACUCCUCUGGGAUAUGGCAGAAUCAGUGUGGCUUUUGCAAAGGUGUGUGUUUGCUUAUCUAGCUCUGUGUUGGUUUUCUCAUCACUUUAAAAUAUACUUCCAGCAAUAACAUUUGGUUUUCAUAGCUGUGUAUAUCUGAACCUAAUGUAACAUUACCAGUCUACUCUUGCAAGAUCAUAAAAAUCUGGGUAUUAAUGAUUGCAUUAAAAGGAAGCAAAAAGUAGAUUAAAUAACUCAACAAAGCUUUGACCAAGCUUGCAUUUGAAUGGAGAAUUCCUGGCCAUAUAUUCCUGCCCCUAAACCUCACUUACAGAUAAGAAAUGACAUAUAUUCACAAAAUGUGUUCAUACAGAGACUGUUCUGCUUGAGAGCCUGAAUAACAGGUUUUGCUGCACGUUGAAAUAUGACUAGUGCUCUCAGGUGACAGGCUGCUUGGGGUCACAGCUGGCGCACUCACGGCCUGCUCCAGGCCUUUUUUGGAGGCUACUGCAGCCAUCUUCAGGCUGUCCCAUCGCUUGGGACGUGCCUUGGAAUUUUGUGGAGAGGAGAGUGGUUUUCUCUGACUUGUAGU
rnacentral:lncRNA from 1 species